rnacentral:lncRNA from 1 species
GGCGCAGCAAGUUCUCCAGAUUGGACGAUGGCAUCUUUUGGUGGGGUUAAUGGCUUGCCAUAGAAAAAGGUGUUUUCAUGAUCUCUUCGUAAAGGAUUCAAUUAAAUACGUGAAAUUCAUGUAUAAAAUUUUGAGGUGGGGUUAAUGGCUUGCCAUAGAAAAGGUGUUUUAUGUUCUCUCUGCAAACCAUUGAAUUAAAUACGUGAUGCUAUCAAAUUCAUGUAUAAAAUUUUGAGGUGGGGUUAAUGGCUUGCCAUAGAAAAGGUGUUUUCAUGUUCUCCUUGUAAAGGAUUCAAUUAAAUAUGUGAUGCUAUGAAAUUCAUGUAUAAAAUUUUGAGGUGGGGUUAAUGGCUUGCCAUAGAAAAAGGUGUUUUAUGUUCUCUCUGCAAACCAUUGAUAUAAAUACGUGAUGCUAUGAAGUUCAUGUAUAAAAUUUUGAGGUGGGGUUAAUGGCUUGCCAUAGAAAAAGGUGUUUUAUGUUCUCUCUGCAAACCAUUGAUAUAAAUACGUGAUGCUAUGAAGUUCAUGUAUAAAAUUUUGAGGUUGGGUUAAUGGCUUGCCAUAGAAAAAGGUGUUUUAUGUUCUCUUCGCAACCAUUGAAUUAAAUACGUGAUGCUAUGAAAUUCAUGUAUAAAAUUUUGAGGUGGGGUUAAUGGCUUGCCAUAGAAAAGGUGUUUUCAUGUUCUCCUUGUAAAGGAUUCAAUUAAAUACGUGAUGCUAUGAAAUUCAUGUAUAAAAUUUUGAGGUGUUUUAUGUUCUCUCUGCAAACCAUUCAAUUAAAUACGUGAUGCUAUCAAAUUCAUGUAUAACAUUUUGAGGUGGGGUUAAUGGCUUGCCAUAGAAAAAGGU